rnacentral:rRNA from 1 species
UACGGGGGGGGCAAGCGUUGUUCGGAAUUACUGGGCGUAAAGGGCUCGUAGGUGGCCAACUAAGUCAGACGUGAAAUCCCUCAGCUUAACUGGGGGAACUGCGUCUGAUACUGGAUGGCUUGAGUUUGGGAGAGGGAUGCGGAAUUCCAGGUGUAGCGGUGAAAUGCGUAGAUAUCUGGAGGAACACCGGUGGCGAAGGCGGCAUCCUGGACCAAUACUGACACUGAGGAGCGAAAGCCAGGGGAGCAAACGGG